rnacentral:rRNA from 1 species
AUGAACGCUGGCGGCGUGCCUAAUACAUGCAAGUCGAGCGAACAGACGAGGAGCUUGCUCCUCUGACGUUAGCGGCGGACGGGUGAGUAACACGUGGAUAACCUACCUAUAAGACUGGGAUAACUUCGGGAAACCGGAGCUAAUACCGGAUAAUAUAUUGAACCGCAUGGUUCAAUAGUGAAAGACGGUUUUGCUGUCACUUAUAGAUGGAUCCGCGCCGCAUUAGCUAGUUGGUAAGGUAACGGCUUACCAAGGCAACGAUGCGUAGCCGACCUGAGAGGGUGAUCGGCCACACUGGAACUGAGACACGGUCCAGACUCCUACGGGAGGCAGCAGUAGGGAAUCUUCCGCAAUGGGCGAAAGCUUGACGGAGCAACGCCGCGUGAGUGAUGAAGGUCUUCGGAUCGUAAAACUCUGUUAUUAGGGAAGAACAAAUGUGUAAGUAACUAUGCACGUCUUGACGGUACCGAAUCAGAAAGCCACGGCUAACUACGU